rnacentral:lncRNA from 1 species
AACAGGAGCACAAUAGAAAGGACAGGGUUCCUGAUUUGUGGGUGGAACUAAUCUUGCUUAAAGGGUCUGGCACUGAAGAAGGCAGCCAUCACUGAGGUGAGAUGUGUAAAGCUGGUCUUGGAAAUUCCAUGCUGAGAGAUGAGAAUACAGAGCUCUAGGAAGCGCUUCAGUAUGACUUUUUAAACAAAGCUGGAUUUUAAAAUACCCUUACCAAUACUGAAACUUU